AUUUUUUUACUUAAACUUUCUCUUUACUUCCUUCAAAUCGACUAUCUCUCUCAUUGACCAAAAAAGACCACAUCUUCUCUCUCGUCUUUUUCUUUCGUUUUUGGGUUUUGCUCUGUCACUCACUCUCCCUUCCUCUCUCUUUUUUUUUUCAUUGAAGAAGAAAUUGUUUUCUUCCUUAGAGCUAUUGGAGUUAGAGGAAUUGAAGAAGAAAUUGUUUUCUUCCUCUUCUCUCCUACUCUUCCAUUCUUGUCUCUAGCGCGCUCGCACGAUGACUCCUCUCACCGUUGGCACAGUCGCUCUUCCUCGUCACUAGCCAAGCUCGAUCUUCUCUGGAAUCUCUUCGCCGCCACUGUGACAGUCUGACAGUUCAACUAGCAACACUUCUAGCCAAGGAGAGAACACAUUCACAAACCUACAUUGGAUGCAUGAAGAAAGGACUAGUAAUCACUGACCCUAAAAUGAAAUGGUAUGAGAAAUCAGGACAUCUAAUUGGGAAUGAAUACUUUCGGCAUGCUUAUGGUCCUAUAUAUGUUCUGUCUGCAGAGGUGGUCGCAUCAUUGGCAAUUGCUAGAAAUAGCAGGAACGUUAUUGGUUGAGUUCGAGAAUAAAAGCACUUAAAAGGUAGGCAAGGAUGAUCCUUCUUUUCUUGGAAUAGUCCAUACCCUUUGGCAUUGCAUUUGUUGAGUCAUUUGGUGAAGGACUUGGGGUUAAACCACACCAGGUGCCUUGGAUUCAGACGAAGGCAGGGUCAUCCAAGAGAUUGCGAGGACACAACUACGGCACCUUGAGUCACAGUAUGCAUACUUUUGUAGUGUACUGGUUGGACAUUUGGCAUGGCAUAGUUUUGAAUAGGUUGGGCAACAAAAGUUUUUGAACUCUACUGAUGUAGGCAAACCUUUGUAUAUUUGGCUAUUCUAUUCAACAUUGGUACUUUAUAUUUUUUAAGGAUGGUGGCUGUAUAUCGAUAAAUCUUUGAGUA